rnacentral:rRNA from 1 species
CGGUGACAAUAGCGGAGAGGAUACACCUGUUCCCAUCUCGAACACAGAAGUUAAGCUCUCUAGCGCCGAUGAUACUUGGUGGGAAGCUGCCUGGGAAAGUAGGACGUUGCCG